rnacentral:rRNA from 1 species
UACAGAGGUCUCAAGCGUUGUUCGGAUUCAUUGGGCGUAAAGGGUGCGUAGGCGGCGCGGUAAGUCGGGUGUGAAAUCUCGGAGCUUAACUCCGAAACUGCAUUCGAUACUGCGGUGCUUUGAGGACUGGAGAGGAGACUGGAAUUCAUGGUGUAGCAGUGAAAUGCGUAGAGAUCAUGAGGAAGACCAGUGGCGAAGGCGGGUCUCUGGACAGUUCCUGACACUGAGACACGAAGGCCAGGGGAGCAAACGGG